GUAGGUGGCAAGCGUUGUCCGGAAUUAUUGGGCGUAAAGCGCGCGCAGGCGGUUCUUAAGUCUGAUGUGAAAGCCCACGGCUCCAACCGUGGAGGGUCAUUGGAAACUGGAGAACUUGAGUACAGAAGAGGAAAGCGGAAUUCCACGUGUAGCGGUGAAAUGCGUAGAGAUGUGGAGGAACACCAGUGGCGAAGGCGGCUUUCUGGUCUGUAACUGACGCUGAGGCGCGAAAGCGUGGGGAGCAAACAGGGAUUAGAUACCCUGGUAGUCCACGCCGUAAACGAUGAGUGCUAAGUGUUAGGGGGGUUUCCGCCCCCUUAGUGCUGCAGCUAACGCAUUAAGCACUCCGCCUGGGGAUACGGCCGCAAGGCUG
rnacentral:rRNA from 1 species